rnacentral:misc_RNA from 1 species
AACGCAUAUUGCGCCCUCUGGUAUUCCGGGGGGCAUGCCUGUCCGAGCGUCAUUAUCCAUAACUCAAGCACGGCUUGUUUGUUGAGCAAAUUGCUUUCGUAAUAGGGAGCAGGCUCGAAAUGCAGUGGUGAACGAUAGUUUGAUUGCCCGAGUGUUAUGGGGCUUUGUCAUACACUCUUGUGGCUCAACUGGCGUUCUACCGUCUUAACCCCCUAAUCUAUAACUAGGUUGACCUCGGAUCAGGUAGGAAUACCCGCUGAACUUAA